AAAACGGUCCUUUUAAGGAUCACAAUAUUUUCAUAAACGUAGCG
rfam:Nasonia vitripennis unplaced genomic scaffold ChrTn_0191, whole genome shotgun sequence.